GACCGAUAGUGAACCAGUACCGUGAGGGAAAGGCGAAAAGAACCCCGGCGAGGGGAGUGAAAAAGAACCUGAAACCGUGUACGUACAAGCAGUGGGAGCACGCUUCGGCGUGUGACUGCGUACCUUUUGUAUAAUGGGUCAGCGACUUAUAUUCUGUAGCAAGGUUAACCGAAUAGGGGAGCCGAAGGGAAACCGAGUCUUAACUGGGCGUUAAGUUGCAGGGUAUAGACCCGAAACCCGGUGAUCUAGCCAUGGGCAGGUUGAAGGUUGGGUAACACUAACUGGAGGACCGAACCGACUAAUGUUGAAAAAUUAGCGGAUGACUUGUGGCUGGGGGUGAAAGGCCAAUCAAACCGGGAGAUAGCUGGUUCUCCCCGAAAGCUAUUUAGGUAGCGCCUCGUGAAUUCAUCUCCGGGGGUAGAGCACUGUUUCGGCAAGGGGGUCAUCCCGACUUACCAACCCGAUGCAAACUGCGAAUACCGGAGAAUGUUAUCACGGGAGACACACGGCGGGUGCUAACGUCCGUCGUGAAGAGGGAAACAACCCAGACCGCCAGCUAAGGUCCCAAAGUCAUGGUUAAGUGGGAAACGAUGUGGGAAGGCCCAGACAGCCAGGAUGUUGGCUUAGAAGCAGCCAUCAUUUAAAGAAAGCGUAAUAGCUCACUGGUCGAGUCGGCCUGCGCGGAAGAUGUAACGGGGCUAAACCAUGCACCGAAGCUGCGGCAGCGACACUAUGUGUUGUUGGGUAGGGGAGCGUUCUGUAAGCCUGUGAAGGUGUACUGUGAGGUAUGCUGGAGGUAUCAGAAGUGCGAAUGCUGACAUAAGUAACGAUAAAGCGGGUGAAAAGCCCGCUCGCCGGAAGACCAAGGGUUCCUGUCCAACGUUAAUCGGGGCAGGGUGAGUCGACCCCUAAGGCGAGGCCGAAAGGCGUAGUCGAUGGGAAACAGGUUAAUAUUCCUGUACUUGGUGUUACUGCGAAGGGGGGACGGAGAAGGCUAUGUUGGCCGGGCGACGGUUGUCCCGGUUUAAGCGUGUAGGCUGGUUUUCCAGGCAAAUCCGGAAAAUCAAGGCUGAGGCGUGAUGACGAGGCACUACGGUGCUGAAGCAACAAAUGCCCUGCUUCCAGGAAAAGCCUCUAAGCAUCAGGUAACAUCAAAUCGUACCCCAAACCGACACAGGUGGUCAGGUAGAGAAUACCAAGGCGCUUGAGAGAACUCGGGUGAAGGAACUAGGCAAAAUGGUGCCGUAACUUCGGGAGAAGGCACGCUGAUAUGUAGGUGAAGCGACUUGCUCGUGGAGCUGAAAUCAGUCGAAGAUACCAGCUGGCUGCAACUGUUUAUUAAAAACACAGCACUGUGCAAACACGAAAGUGGACGUAUACGGUGUGACGCCUGCCCGGUGCCGGAAGGUUAAUUGAUGGGGUUAGCGGUAACGCGAAGCUCUUGAUCGAAGCCCCGGUAAACGGCGGCCGUAACUAUAACGGUCCUAAGGUAGCGAAAUUCCUUGUCGGGUAAGUUCCGACCUGCACGAAUGGCGUAAUGAUGGCCAGGCUGUCUCCACCCGAGACUCAGUGAAAUUGAACUCGCUGUGAAGAUGCAGUGUACCCGCGGCAAGACGGAAAGACCCCGUGAACCUUUACUAUAGCUUGACACUGAACAUUGAGCCUUGAUGUGUAGGAUAGGUGGGAGGCUUUGAAGUGUGGACGCCAGUCUGCAUGGAGCCGACCUUGAAAUACCACCCUUUAAUGUUUGAUGUUCUAACGUUGGCCCGUUAUCCGGGUUGCGGACAGUGUCUGGUGGGUAGUUUGACUGGGGCGGUCUCCUCCUAAAGAGUAACGGAGGAGCACGAAGGUUGGCUAAUCCUGGUCGGACAUCAGGAGGUUAGUGCAAUGGCAUAAGCCAGCUUGACUGCGAGCGUGACGGCGCGAGCAGGUGCGAAAGCAGGUCAUAGUGAUCCGGUGGUUCUGAAUGGAAGGGCCAUCGCUCAACGGAUAAAAGGUACUCCGG
rnacentral:rRNA from 1 species